rnacentral:rRNA from 1 species
UACGUAGGGUGCGAGCGUUGUCCGAAUUAUUGGGCGUAAAGAGCUCGUAGGCGGUCUGUCGCGUCGAUCGUGAAAACUUGGGGCUUAACCCUGAGCUUGCGGUCGAUACGGGCAUGACUGGAGUUCGGCAGGGGAGACUGGAAUUCCUGGUGUAGCGGUGAAAUGCGCAGAUAUCAGGAGGAACACCGGUGGCGAAGGCGGGUCUCUGGGCCGAUACUGACGCUGAGGAGCGAAAGCGUGGGGAGCGAACAGG